rnacentral:rRNA from 1 species
CGGGNGGAGUAACACGUGGGUAACCUACCUAUAAGACUGGGACAACUUCGGGAAACCGGAGCUAAUACCGGAUAAGAUAUCGAACCGCAUGGUUCGAUAGUGAAAGAUGGUUUUGCUAUCACUUAUAGAUGGACCCGCGCCGUAUUAGCUAGUUGGUGAGGUAACGGCUCACCAAGGCAACGAUACGUAGCCGACCUGAGAGGGUGAUCGGCCACACUGGAACUGAGACACGGUCCAGACUCCUACGGGAGGCAGCAGUA